UGACAGCCCUGCUAUGGGACGAAGACAAGGGCUCCUGGUUUGAUUAUGAUCUCGAGAACCAGAGGAAGAACUACGAGUUUUACCCAUCCAACCUCACUCCGCGCUGGGCCGGCUGCUUCUCUGACCCUGGUGUCGCAGACAGAGCUCUGAAGUACCUGGAGGACAGCCAGAUCCUGAGCUACCGGCACGGCAUCCCCACUUCUCUUCGGAACACAGGCCAGCAGUGGGACUUCCCCAACGCCUGGGCCCCCCUGCAGGACGUGGUCAUCAGAGCUCCCUGCUGAUGCACUUCCUGGGAGCAGCAGUGAUGGCCCAAGGCUUGGGUCCCUGCCACUCAGGUGGAAGACCUGGUCACAGUUCCUGGUGC